AUGAACGCUGGCGGCGUGCCUAAUACAUGCAAGUCGAGCGAACGGACGAGAAGCUUGCUUUUCUGAUGUUAGCGGCGGACGGGUGAGUAACACGUGGAUAACCUACCUAUAAGACUGGGAUAACUUCGGGAAACCGGAGCUAAUACCGGAUAAUAUUUUGAACCGCAUGGUUCAAAAGUGAAAGACGGUCUUGCUGUCACUUAUAGAUGAAUCCGCGCUGCAUUAGCUAGUUGGUAAGGUAACGGCUUACCAAGGCAACGAUGCAUAGCCGACCUGAGAGGGUGAUCGGCCACACUGGAACUGAGACACGGUCCAGACUCCUACGGGAGGCAGCAGUAGGGAAUCUUCCGCAAUGGGCGAAAGCCUGACGGAGCAACGCCGCGUGAGUGAUGAAGGUCUUCGGAUCGUAAAACUCUGUUAUUAGGGAAGAACAUAUGUGUAAGUAACUGUGCACAUCUUGACGGUACCUAAUCAGAAAGCCACGGCUAACUACGUG
rnacentral:rRNA from 1 species